CGGUGGAGCUGGUGGAGGAGGAGGUGGCGGAGUUGGUGGUGGUUCAGGGCAUGGUGGAGGUUUCGGAGCUGGAGGUGGUGUAGGUGGUGGCGUUGGAGGAGGUGGUGGUCUUGGAGGUGGCGGUGGUGGUGGUUCGGGAGGAGGCGGUGGUCUUGGUGGAGGCGCAGGCCACGGAGGCGGGUUUGGUGCUGGUGGUGGUGUAGGAGGUGGAGCUGGGGGAGGUGUUGGUGGUGGAGGAGGUGCAGGAGGAGGUGGUGGUGGCCGAGUCGGUGGAGGUUCAGGCCAUGGUGGCGGAUUUGGUGCAGGUGGUGGUGUAGGAGGUGGAGCUGGCGGAGGGAUUGGAGGUGGAGGAGGUGCAGGAGGAGGAGGUGGUGGUGGUGUAGGUGGAGGUGGAGGUUCAGGCCAUGGAAGCGGUUUUGGUGCAGGUGGUGGUGUAGGAGGUGGUGGCGGUCACGGUGGAGGAUUCGGAAUUGGAAUUGGGAUUGGCAUUGGAGUGGGAGCUGGCACGGGUAGCGGCCAAGGGUCUGGAAGUGGGUCUGGUGGAGGUGGUGGAAAUUAAAACCAUUUACCUUAUAAGCAGCUUCUGCCUUGUGCAUGGCUGAACUAAAUAUUAUAUGAGUUCUCAGAUUGUAAUUUCUGAAGAUUGUAGGUCCAAUUUUUAUAAGCUACGCAAUUAAGCUAAUUUUCCCAGAAAACUAUGGAAUUAAGGGCGCAUUGAGGUUCCUUAA